rnacentral:rRNA from 1 species
UAUCGUUAAGCUAUUAAGGGCGUACGGUGGAUGCCUUGGCGCUGGAAGACGAUGAAGGACGUGGUAAGCUGCGAAAAGCCUCGGGGAGCCGCAAACAGGCGCUAUUAUCCGAGGAUAUCCGAAUGGGAAAACCCUCCUGAUUGAAGAUCAGGAACUCCUGCCUGAAUACAUAGGGCAGGUAGAGUCAACCCGGGGAAGUGAAACAUCUCAGUACCCGGAGGAAGAGAAAUCAAACGAGAUUCCGCAAGUAGCGGCGAGCGAACGCGGAAUAGCCCAAACCUGAGGGCUUGCUCUCAGGGGUUGUAGGGCGCACGAUAUGGGACCUUAAAGGCGAGUCGAAGUGGUACUGGAUAUGACCUGCCGUAGAAGGUGAAAGCCCUGUAGACGAAGCUUAAAAGGCCCUAGUGCGUACCUGAGUAGCGCGGGACACGUGAAAUCCCGUGUGAAACCGGGGGGACCACCCUCCAAGGCUAAAUACUCUCCAGCGACCGAUAGUGAACUAGUACCGUGAGGGAAAGGUGAAAAGAACCCUUUCAAAGGGAGUGAAAUAGUACCUGAAACCGUAUGUCUACAAGCAGUCGGAGCACUAUGGUGGCUUGCCACAAUGUGCGACGGCGUGCCUUUUGCAUAAUGAGCCGGCGAGUUACUUUACGUAGCAAGGUUAAGCGCCUCAGGCGCGCAGCCGCAGCGAAAGCGAGUCCUAACUGGGCGACUAGUUGCGUAGAGUAGACCCGAAGCGGGAUGAUCUAGCCAUGGCCAGGAUGAAAGUCGGGUAACACCGACCGGAGGUCCGAACCGGUGUACCUUAAAAAGUGCUCGGAUGAGCUGUGGCUAGGGGUGAAAGGCCAAUCAAAUUCCGUGAUAGCUGGUUCUCUCCGAAAUGUUUUUAGGAACAGCCUCGAUUGCUCAGUUACUGAGGUAAAGCACUGAAUGGACUAGGGGCCCUACAAGGUUACCGAACCCAAUCAAACUCUGAAUGCAGUAACUCAAGAGAUCGGGAGUGAGUCAGUGGGGGAUAAGCUCCAUUGGCGAGAGGGAAACACCCCAGACCAUCAGCUAAGGUCCCAAAGACUGUGCUAAGUGGAAAACGAUGUGAUUUCUUUCAGACAACCAGGAUGUUGGCUUAGAAGCAGCCAUCAUUUAAAGAGUGCGUAAUAGCUCACUGGUCAAAAGGGAUUGCGCGGAAAAUGUAACGGGGCUCAAGCACAGCACCGAAGCUAUGGAUUUCAGUCGUUAAGACUGUGAUGGUAGGAGAGCAUUCCAAGGGCGGAUGAAGGUCGAUCGAAAGAACGGCUGGAGCGCUUGGAAGUGAGUAUGCCGGCAUUAGUAACGAUAAAACGGGUGAAAAACCCGUUCGCCGUAAAUCUAAGGUUUCCUGGGCUAGGGUAAUCCUCCCAGGGUGAGUCGGUCCCUAAGACGAGGCUGAAAAGCGUAGUCGAUGGGAAGCAGGUGAAAAUUCCUGCACCGCUGUCGUGGCGACAAAGACACAGAGGAGGGACGCAGUAAGGUAGCCCUAAUCCCUGACGGAUGGGAUGCAAGACCUGUAGGUGGAGAGCUUUGGCAAAUCCGGGCUCUUAUUCAACACUGAGGGGAAUUGGGAAGUGCGGCUUCGGCCAAACCAACUGGGUGACCCUACACUGCCAAGAAAAGCUUCGUUCUGUGAGUCACGAAAGCGACCGUACCGCAAUCCGACACAGGUAGAUGAGGAUAAAAGUCCUAAGGCGCUCGAGAUAACUGUUGUUAAGGAACUCGGCAAUCUAGCCCCGUAACUUCGGAAAAAGGGGUGCUCUUGAAUGUGAUGAUAUUUACUGUCUGAGCAUUUGGGAGUCGCAGUGAAUGGGAUCAAGCGACUGUUUAGCAAAAACACAGGGCUCUGCAAACACGUAAGUGGAAGUAUAGGGUCUGACGCCUGCCCGGUGCCGGAAGGUUAAAGGGCGUGGUUAGCGCAAGCGAAGCCAUAAACUGAAGCCCCGGUAAACGGCGGCCGUAACUAUAACGGUCCUAAGGUAGCGAAAUUCCUUGUCGGGUAAGUUCCGACCUGCACGAAUGGCGUAACGACUUGAUCGCUGUCACAACAACAGACUCGGUGAAGUUGAGGUACCGGUGAAGACGCCGGUUUCCCGCAUCAAGACGGAAAGACCCCGUGCACCUUUACUACACCCUGAUAUUGGAAUUCGACAUGCCAUGUAGAGGAUAGGUGGGAGGCUUUGAAGUCUGGGCGCCAGCCCAGGUGGAGCCACCCUUGGAAUACCACCCUUGGUAUGUUGAGUUUCUAACCCACUCCCCUGAAUCGGGGGGGGGGACAGUGUCAGGCGGGUAGUUUGACUGGGGCGGUCGCCUCCUAAAAUGUAACGGAGGCGUACGAAGGUUCCCUCAGCACGGUCGGCAAUCGUGCGUAGAGCGUAUAGGUAUAAGGGAGCUUAACUGCGAGACAAACAAGUCGAGCAGGUACGAAAGUAGGUCUAAGUGAUCCGGUGGUUCUGAGUGGAAGGGCCAUCGCUCAUCGGAUAAAAGGUACGCCGGGGAUAACAGGCUUAUCUCCCCCAAGAGUUCACAUCGACGGGGAGGUUUGGCACCUCGAUGUCGGCUCAUCGCAUCCUGGGGCUGGAUUAGGUCCCAAGGGUUUGGCUGUUCGCCAAUUAAAGCGGUACGUGAGCUGGGUUCAGAACGUCGUGAGACAGUUCGGUCCCUAUCUGAUGUGGGCGUAGGAAUGUUGUGAGGAGUUCUCCCUAGUACGAGAGGACCGGGAGGAACAGACCUCUGGUGACUCAGUUGUGGCGCCAGCUGCAUUGCUGAAUAUCUACGUCUGGAAGUGAUAACCGCUGAAGGCAUCUAAGCGGGAAGCAUACCUCGAGAUUAGCAUUCCCGGGAGUAAUCCCCUGAAGACCCCAAGUAGACCACUUGGUGAUAGGCUGGGAGUGUAAGCGUAGCGAUACGUUCAGCUGACCAGUACUAAUCGGUCGUGAGGCUUAACAUA